rnacentral:sRNA from 1 species
ACUAAUAUUAAUUUACAAUGACAUGUGGCACUCACUGGUGUGAUGAUUUGUCACUCAUAUGGAGAGAGUUGGCCAACUUUCAUAUAUAUAAUUUCUCUUCAAUUGUAUUUUGUUUUU